GGAAUUUUGGGCAAUGGGCGAAAGCCUGACCCAGCAACGCCGCGUGAAGGAUGAAAUCCCUCGGGAUGUAAACUUCGCAAGAACGGGAAGAAUAAGUAAGAGUUAAUAUCUCUUACGAUGACGGUACUGUUUGUAAGCUCCGGCCAACUACGUGCCAGCAGCCGCGGUAAUACGUAGGGUCCAAGCGUUGUCCGGAUUUAUUGGGCGUAAAGAGCUCGUAGGUGGUUCGCUAAGUCGGAUGUGAAAACUCGGGGCUCAACCCCGAGACGCCAUCCGAUACUGGCGUGACUUGAGUCUGGUAGGGGAGAUCGGAAUUCCUGGUGUAGCGGUGAAAUGCGCAGAUAUCAGGAGGAACACCGGUGGCGAAGGCGGAUCUCUGGGCCAGUACUGACACUGAGGAGCGAAAGCGUGGGUAGCAAAC
rnacentral:rRNA from 1 species